AUUGAACGCUGGCGGCAGGCCUAACACAUGCAAGUCGAACGGUAACAGGAAGAAGCUUGCUUCUUUGCUGACGAGUGGCGGACGGGUGAGUAAUGUCUGGGAAACUGCCUGAUGGAGGGGGAUAACUACUGGAAACGGUAGCUAAUACCGCAUAACGUCGCAAGACCAAAGAGGGGGACCUUCGGGCCUCUUGCCAUCGGAUGUGCCCAGAUGGGAUUAGCUAGUAGGUGGGGUAACGGCUCACCUAGGCGACGAUCCCUAGCUGGUCUGAGAGGAUGACCAGCCACACUGGAAGUGAGACACGGUCCAGACUCCUACGGGAGGCAGCAGUGGGGAAUAUUGCACAAUGGGCGCAAGCCUGAUGCAGCCAUGCCGCGUGUAUGAAGAAGGCCUUCGGGUUGUAAAGUACUUUCAGCGGGGAGGAAGGGAGUAAAGUUAAUACCUUUGCUCAUUGACGUUACCCGCAGAAGAAGCACCGGCUAACUCCGUG
rnacentral:rRNA from 1 species